GACGAACGCUGGCGGCGUGCUUAACACAUGCAAGUCGAACGGAAAGGCCCUGCUUGUAGGGUACUCGAGUGGUGAACGGGUGAGUAACACGUGGGUGAUCUGCCCUGCACUUCGGGAUAAGCCUGGGAAACUGGGUCUAAUACCGGAUAGGACCACCGUUUAGUGUCGGUGGUGGAAAGUUUUUCGGUGCAGGAUGAGCUCGCGGCCUAUCAGCUUGUUGGUGGGGUAAUGGCCUACCAAGGCGUCGACGGGUAGCCGGCCUGAGAGGGUGGACGGCCACAUUGGGACUGAGACACGGCCCAGACUCCUACGGGAGGCAGCAGUGGGGAAUAUUGCACAAUGGGCGCAAGCCUGAUGCAGCGACGCCGCGUGGGGGAUGAAGGCCUUCGGGUUGUAAACUCCUUUCAACCAUGACGAAGCUUUUUGUGACGGUAGUGGUAGAAGAAGCACCGGCUAACUACGUGCCAGCAGCCGCGGUAA
rnacentral:rRNA from 1 species